ACGAACGCUGGCGGCGUGCUUAACACAUGCAAGUCGAACGAGAGGAGAAGGAAGCUUGCUUCUUUCAAAUCUAGUGGCAAACGGGUGAGUAACACGUAAACAACCUGCCUUCAGGAUGGGGACAACAGACGGAAACGACUGCUAAUACCGAAUACGUUCCUUAGGUCGCAUGGACUUUUAGGAAGAAAAGGGUUGGCCUCUACUUGUAAGCUAUCGCCUGAAGAGGGGUUUGCGUCUGAUUAGCUAGUUGUGGGGCAACGGCCUACCAAGGCGACGAUCAGUAGCCGGUCUGAGAGGAUGAACGGCCACAUUGGAACUGAGACACGGUCCAGACUCCUACGGGAGGCAGCAGUGGGGAAUCUUCCGCAAUGGGCGAAAGCCUGACGGAGCAACGCCGCGUGAGUGAAGAAGGCCUUCGGGUCGUAAAGCUCUGUUGUCGGGGACGAAUGUAGCGCUUAUCAACAACGAGUGCUAAUGACGGUACCUGACGAGGAAGCCACGGCUAACUACGUG
rnacentral:rRNA from 1 species